UCCUGAGUAGCCAGGAUUACAAACAUGAGCCAUGGGUGCUCAGCUAGAACAGGAAACUCAAGGCCAGAGUAGGCUCCAUAGGCCGUUCUAGGCCAGCCUGGCUAUGCGGUGAGACCUCAUCUCUGAAGAACAAAACAGGAGCUGGCGGGGUCAGGG